rnacentral:rRNA from 1 species
UACGGGGGGAGCAAGCGUUGUUCGGAUUUACUGGGCGUAAAGGGCGCGUAGGCGGUCAGCACAAGUCGGUUGUGAAAUCUCCGGGCUUAACUCGGAAAGGUCAACUGAUACUGUGCGACUAGAGUGCAGAAGGGGCAACUGGAAUUCUCGGUGUAGCGGUGAAAUGCGUAGAUAUCGAGAGGAACACCUGCGGCGAAGGCGGGUUGCUGGGCUGACACUGACGCUGAGGCGCGAAAGCCAGGGGAGCGAACGGG